CCUACGGGAGGCAGCAGUGGGGAAUAUUGCGCAAUGGGCGAAAGCCUGACGCAGCGAAGCCGCGUGAAGGAUGAAGGUCUUCGGAUCGUAAACUUCCAUCUACAGGGAAGAAAAAGACGGUACCUGACUAAGAAGCCCCGUCUAACUACGUGCCAGCAGCCGCGGUAAUACGUAGGGGGCAAGCGUUAUCCGGAUUUACUGGGUGUAAAGGGAGCGUAGGCGGUUUAGCAAGUCAGAAGUGAAAGUCCGGGGCUCAACUCCAGAACUGCUUUUGAAACUGUUGAACUAGAGUGCAGGAGAGGUAAGUGGAAUUCCUAGUGUAGCGGUGAAAUGCGUAGAUAUUAGGAGGAACACCAGUGGCGAAGGCAGCUUACUGGACUGUAAAUGACACUGAGGCUCGAAAGCGUGGGGAGCAAACAGGAUUAGAUACCCUAGUAGUC
rnacentral:rRNA from 1 species